rnacentral:rRNA from 1 species
AGAUUGAACGCUGGCGGCAGGCCUAACACAUGCAAGUCGAGCGGUAGAGAGAAGCUUGCUUCUCUUGAGAGCGGCGGACGGGUGAGUAAUGCCUAGGAAUCUGCCUAGUGGUGGGGGGAUAACGUUCGGAAACGGACGCUAAUACCGCAUACGUCCUACGGGAGAAAGCGGGGGACCUUCGGGCCUCGCGCCAUUAGAUGAGCCUAGGUCGAUUAGCUAGUUGGUGAGGUAAGGCUCACCAAGGCGACGAUCCGUAACUGGUCUAGAGAGGAUGAUCAGUCACACUGGAACUGAGACACGGUACCAGACUCCGUACGGGAGCAGCGAGUGGGAAUAGUGGACAAGGUACGGGGAAACCUGAUCCGACGACCGA